rnacentral:rRNA from 1 species
CAGCAGCCACGGUAAUACAUAGGGCGCAAGCGUUAUCCGGAAUUAUUGGGCGUAAAGAGCUCGUAGGCGGUUUGUCGCGUCUGCCGUGAAAGUCCGGGGCUCAACCCCGGAUCUGCGGUGGGUACGGGCAGACUAGAGUGAUGUAGGGGAGACUGGAAUUCCUGGUGUAGCGGUGAAAUGCGCAGAUAUCAGGAGGAACACCGAUGGCGAAGGCAGGUCUCUGGGCAUUAACUGACGCUGAGGAGCGAAAGCAUGGGGAGCGAACAGGAUUAGAUACCCGCGUAGUCCCUGUCUCUUAUAC